GGUGCACACUGUUAGAGCUCAUCACCAACGUUGGUGUUCGGGUGUCGGAGGUGUGCUAAAGUGAGUCGGCCGGGUUUUCGCUAACACCAUGAGGACGUGCUGUCCUAUGACUGGGGUUUGAUAGUGACCUGAGCCACAUUA